rnacentral:rRNA from 1 species
UGAUAGGCUAGGCUACACAUGCGAGUCGAGCGGCAUGAAGGGAGCUUGCUCCUGGAUUCAGCGGCGGACGGGUGAGUAAUGCCUAGGAAUCUGCCCGGGAUUGGUCUCUAACGUCUGGAAACGGGCGCUAAUACCGCAUACGUCCUGAGGUAGAAAGUGGUGUUACUUCGCACCUCACCCUAUCAAAUGAGCCUAGGUCGGAUUAGCUAGUUGGUGGGGUAAAGGCCUACCCAGGCGACGAUCCGUAUCUGGUCUGUGACUAAGCCGAGUCCCACUGUAACUGAGACAGGGCCCAGACUAAUACUAAAGCUUGCAUUGGUUAAUAUUGCACAAUGCGCGAAAGCCUGAGCCGGGUNCAACUCCUACGUUAAGAAGGUCUUCGGAUUGUAAAGCACUUUACGUUGGGAGGAAGGACAGUAAGUUAAUACCUUGCUGUUUUGGCGUUACCAACAGAAUAAGCACCGGCUAACUUCGUGUCAGCGGCCGCGGCAAUACGAAGGCUGCAAGCGUUAAUCGGAAUCACUGGGCGUAAACAACGCGUAGGUGGUUCAGCACGUUGAAUGUGAAAUCCCCGGCCUCGACCUGGGAACUGCAUCCGAAACUACUGAGCUAGGAUAAGACUGUGGGAGAGGGAAUCUCC